rnacentral:rRNA from 1 species
UACAGAGGGGCCAAGCGUUAGGCGGAAUCAUUGGGCGUAAAGAGCGUGUAGGCGGCCUGGUAAGUCCGCUGUGAAAGUCCAGGGCUCAACCCUGGAAUGCCGGCGGAAACUGUCAGGCUCGAGUCCGGAAGAGGCGAGUGGAAUUCCUGGUGUAGCGGUGAAAUGCGCAGAUAUCAGGAAGAACACCCGUGGCUAAGGCGGCUCUCUAGUACGGUACUGACGCUGAGACGCGAAAGCGUGGGGAGCGAACAGG